rnacentral:rRNA from 1 species
GAUGAACGCUGGCGGCGUGCUUAACACAUGCAAGUCGAACGGAAAGGCCGAAGCUUUCUUCGGUACUCGAGUGGCGAACGGGUGAGUAACACGUGGGUGAUCUGCCCUGUACUUCGGGAUAAGCUUAGGAAACUGGGUCUAAUACCGGAUAUGACAAUCUCUUGGAUGGGGGUGUGGAAAGCUUUUGCGGUAUGGGAUGGGUUCGCGGCGUAUCAGCUUGUUGGUGGGGUAAUGGCGUACCAAGGCGUUGACGGGUAGCCGGCCUGAGAGGGUGUACGGCCACAUUGGGACUGAGAUACGGCCCAGCCUCCUACGGGAGGCAGCAGUGGGGAAUAUUGCACAAUGGGCGGAAGCCUGAUGCAGCGACGCCGCGUGGGGGAUGACGGCCUUCGGGUUGUAAACUCCUUUCGCAACCGACGAAGCUUUUGUGACGGUAGGUUGAGAAGAAGCACCGGCUAACUACGUG